ensembl:lncRNA
CCGAACUCUUCCCGUCUUCUUCAAGUUUUUCCCAAAUUGAGUAUGCUCUGUACAUUUCAAUUGAAGCACAGUGUGAUUUCACUGAGGUAUGUAUAAAUUAUGAAAUUCUCAUCACUAAUGGAUAUGUUUUUUUGGGAUCCCCAUCUGAUUAUUUUUUUAAAGCCUAAUUUGCUGCAUGUUGUCCUAUGGUGGUGCUUGGUUCUCCUGCAGAACUUUCCUAUGCUGUAACAUUAUAAAAACGUUUCAUUUGCAUCCUUAAAAUCAAACGCUUUGCUGUAGCCAGACUGACCUGAAUAUAUGUUCAUAAUGAAUGUAUGUCAUUCACUCACUGAGGUCUGAAGAAGAGGUUGAAAGAUCCAAAAAGGCGGUGAAAACACAAUACAGGUAGUUGUCAUGAUGAGUGGUAUAGUCUUAAACUAAUGUUUAAAGAUGUACCCCCCCCAAAAGAAAUAUAUAUUUCAGGGUGAUGUAGAUUCCCCCCCCAAGAAGUCACAUCAGCAUCCAGCUCUGCAGGAUCAGACGAUACUGAAAACAAAAUGCACUGGGGGCUGUGAACUGGGAAGCAGCUGUUCUUCUAAGGAACACCCUAGAGGCAGCAAGGUGGCGCGAACUCUGAACAUUUAAAGGCACUGUUUCCCUCCCCCUAGUGUAAUUGGGAUGGAUGGGGAAGACUGCAUUUACAACCCUUAAAGAACUAUGGUUGUAUGAUGGCCAGGAUGAAGAGGAAACUUAAUAUCCUCAAGGAACCAUUCAUGUUACAGAGAGAUUAUGAGAUGUUUGAUUUAUUUAUUUUUUAUUUUACCUUUAUUUAACCAGGUAGGCAAGUUGAGAACAAGUUCUCAUUUACAAUUGCGACCUGGCCAAGAUAAAGCAAAGCAGUUCGACAGAUACAACGACACAGAGUUACACAUGGAGUAAAACAAACAUACAGUCAAUAACACAGUAUAAACAAGUCUAUAUACAACGUGAGCAAAUGAGGUGAGAAUGGAGGUAAAGGCAAAAAAGGCCAUGGUGGCAAAGUAAAUACAAUAUAGCAAGUAAAACACUGGAAUGGUAGUUUUGCAAUGGAAGAAUGUGCAAAGUAGAAAUAAAAAUAAUGGGGUGCAAAGGAGCAAAAUAAAUUUAAAAUUAAAUACAGUUGGGAAAGAGGUAGUUGUUUGGGCUAAAUUAUAGGUGGGCUAUGUACAGGUGCAGUAAUCUGUGAGCUGCUCUGACAGUUGGUGCGUAAAGCUAGUGCGGGAGAUAAGUGUUUCCAGUUUCAGAGAUUUUUGUAGUUCGUUCCAGUCAUUGGCAGCAGAGAACUGGAAGGAGAGGCGGCCAAAGAAAGAAUUGGUUUUGGGGGUGACUAGAUAUACCUGCUGGAGCGUGUGCUACAGGUGGGAGAUGCUAUGGUGACCAGCGAGCUGAGAUAAGGGGGG